rnacentral:rRNA from 1 species
GAUGAACGCUGGCGGCGUGCCUAAUACGUGCAAGUCGAGCGAACAGAUGAGGAGCUUGCUCCUCUGACGUUAGCGGCGGACGGGUGAGUAACACGUGGAUAACCUACCUAUAAGACUGGGAUAACUUCGGGAAACCGGAGCUAAUACCGGAUAAUAUAUUGAACCGCAUGGUUCAAUAGUGAAAGACGGUUUUGCUGUCACUUAUAGAUGGAUCCGCGCCGCAUUAGCUAGUUGGUAAGGUAACGGCUUACCAAGGCAACGAUGCGUAGCCGACCUCAGAGGGUGAUCGGCCACACUGGAACUGAGACACGGUCCAGACUCCUACGGGAGGCAGCAGUAGGGAAUCUUCCGCAAUGGGCGAAAGCCUGACGGAGCAACGCCGCGUGAGUGAUGAAGGUCUUCGGAUCGUAAAACUCUGUUAUUAGGGAAGAACAAAUGUGUAAGUAACUAUGCACGUCUUGACGGUACCUAAUCAGAAAGCCACGGCUAACUACGUG